CUCAACGGUCAUCAUGGAAAGUGAAAACGACGGUGCGGCUCCUCCCACGGAGGAGAGACAAGCUCACAGGAAAUGCCGUCUAACGGGAUCUCUGGAUGGAGAAUUCCACAGCUGAUUGGAACCUAAACGAGAGAACCAAAUGGACAUCCCAGGGCUGCAGGAGCCACCCCAUCUAUGACUAAGACACCCUCCCACCUUCAUGCUACUGAGUGGACAAGCUUACAUGAAAUGACUGUUUUCACAUAUGUGGCACCAGGCAGCCCAGGGAUGCCGGUGAAAUCUCUGGGAGAACGGCAUGUUCCAGAGAGCCACAGCUUGCUCAGCCUGGACCCCAGAACGAAGGAGGCAUCAGAAGCUGAGCCACCCGUGGCCGACAAGAAACCUGAGUGGGAGGGGAAACUUGGUUGCUGUGAUCGACCCAGGCUUGCGAGUUGUUUUGGCAACACAGCCUAGCAAGAGCCGACCAAUAUGUCAUUGAUGAAAGAAAGUCAACAGGCGUGUAGAAGGAGCUGUCUACUGAGCAUGUCUGCACUUUUCUGAAUUAUGUUGCACUUGAGUAAAAAGUAAGCAAGCCUGUCUAUUUACUUUAAAUGAUGUGUGCCAGAUAUGUACAGUAUGCAGAGUUAAGAAGGUGCCACCCCAAAAUAGGCUGCUCUGGCAUAGUCACUAUUAGGAAUUAAAGGCAGUUAAAACAAU
rnacentral:lncRNA from 1 species